UACGUAGGGUGCGAGCGUUGUCCGGAAUUAUUGGGCGUAAAGAGCUCGUAGGCGGUCUGUCGCGUCUGCUGUGAAAACCCGAGGCUCAACCUCGGGCCUGCAGUGGGUACGGGGCAGACUAGAGUGCGGUAGGGGAGAAUGGAACUCCUGGUGUAGCGGUGGAAUGCGCAGAUAUCAGGAGGAACACCGGUGGCGAAGGCGGGUCUCUGGGCCGAUACUGACGCUGGAGGAGCG
rnacentral:rRNA from 1 species